GGCUCCUCGUAAAAAACUAAAUGGGGAGUCGGACCUGCCCGGUGAAUUUUUUUAACGGCCGCGGUACUCUGACCGUGCAAAGGUAGCAUAAUCAUUUGCCUUAUAAUUGAAGGCUAGUAUGAAUGGUUUGACAAGAGUGCAGCUGUCUCUAUAUAAUUUAAUAGAAUUUUAUCUUCAGGUGAAGAAGCUUGUAUAAAAUUAAAAGACAAGAAGACCCUAUCGAGCUUUAAAAAAAUUAACAGGUUGUUAAGUUAAUAAAACUAAAAAAUUUUCUGUUGAAAAUUUUAAUUGGGGCGAUCGAGGAACAAAAAAAGCUUCCUUUAAAACUUAGAUACCCACAAGUGUAGAUCCAAAAUUUUUUGAUUAAAGAAAUUAGUUACCGUAGGGAUAACAGCAUUAUCUUUUUUGAGAGCUCUUAUCGAAAAAAAGGUUUGUGACCUCGAUGUUGGACCAGAAUAUCCUAAAGAUGCAGCAGUCUUUAAGGGUUGGUCUGUUCGACCAUUAAAAUUCUACG
rnacentral:rRNA from 1 species